UGGACAUUCAGUGAAUUCGGAUGCAGAAACACGUCGCAGAAGAAGAAUGGACUAUGACACAAUUUGUCUCGGUUAUGCAGACGGAGAUUUCUAAACGCAAGUGUGACAUACAUCAAUCAGCGUUCCUACCUGUUUAUAGAGUGGAACACGUUGCAUCGGAGGAAAAUCUGCCUAUAUGACAUAUCUUCACAGAAAAGGAAAGUAAAGUCCAAUUUACCAUGAACAGAAGAAAAUUUUACCAUUCUGAAAGAUUACCAGACCAAAAUCAGGAUGCAGGAUGAGAUUAAACCAAAAUGUGUCUAAAAUUCCUAACGUUAUACUGUUAAGCCAUUGGAUGUAUAGUGUUCAGAAGGUUUUGAAAGAUGAACACAUGUAAGGCUGCAAAAUGUGAAGGAAACAAUUCGUCUUUGAAAGGCGAUUUACUUGUCAUUGGCUGCGAAGAAAGUAACCAGGAAAACCAUUACAUAAGGAAAGAGGAAAGAUGCAUCAUGUCUUUUUAAAAAAAAAUCUUUGUGGCAUUGUUGUGUGAUGGCACUGGACGCUGUAUUAAGUGUAGUGAAUUCCUGUUGAGAAGGUGAUCAGGGAAUAGGAGAAUUAGUAUGCUUAGUAUCACUCGGGAGCAGAAAAAAAAGCUUUGUGUUCAGAUUGUCAAUAACUGGCGAUUUCCCAACGGCAUCAUUCCACCAGCGAAGAAUCGCAAGAACGGCAAAACCUUAUUACCACAGUCGCUAUCUCAUUUAGGGCUGAAAAUACACCCCGUCACCAAAAGCCGAAACAACGACUUCCGAUCAUGAAAGAUGUUACAUUGUUAAAAAUAAUGUAUUCUAAGAUAAAACAUCGAUUUUUGAAAAUUUACAGAGAUUUUCUAGAAAACAAGGAAGGAAUUAUGACCUGUACUUUCAAUAAAACAUUGUUAUGGUUUGUUGCAAAGAUUUUGUAUUAGUUGGAAAAUAAUAGAAAAGAAUGCAAAUUAUAUGAAUUAUGCAUGAAAAAAAAUCACUCUUGGGGAUUAUAUUUAUAGAUGGAUACUUUUCUGCAGUUUUAAUAUAUCUGUCCAAACGUGUUCCAUCGAAUUAAAACAUGAUAUAUGCAAUGUCUUGUAAUAAAAAAAAUAAGAACCAUUGAAAUCUUGGGAAAUUCCUUUCCUUAUUUCUUGUUUCACACGAAAAGCCAAAACAUGUUGUAUUUCCUGCAAUAUCAGUUAUUGGUACAUGUAUAUUUUUCAAUAUAAAUUAUGUAUGUAUAAACUCCAAACAAAACACCAAUUAACAACAUAAAAUAUAUUGUAUUUCUAUGCUUUUUAAA